UCGAUCAAAUUAAACAUUUCUAAAAAUAGAUAAUCUCAUUCAAUAUUUGACCUAAUUCUUUAUCUAUAAAUAGCACACAUAUUCACACUUUUCAAUCAUCCUCAGUCUUACAAAAUCACUAUUCCUAAAGUUGUUACCAUCUCCGCAAUCUAAAUCCAGUAGGGCAAUCCCUGCAACCAAAAAUCUUGUAGAAACUAAAAGUUAUUUUUUUAAUUUGUUCGAGUCAUGUUUUGCAAUAAUUCAAGAAAAAUCAAACCAAACUAAUAUCCUUUAAAAUUCAAACAAUUUCAUUGUUUUUUUCUUUACUUACAAUAAUCUAAUCUUUUUGUAAUUAUAUCUAAAUAAAUAGUUAUUUUUUUCUAUCAAAUUUCAUUAGCAAAACAAAAAUUACUUUACAUCACCGGUACCACUUUCAUAAAAAAUUUGCUUAAAUCAAACCCGUCUGUCCUCUUCUAUUUGUUUAUCUUUUAGAAAAUCAAACUAUCAAAUAUAGUGAAAUUACUAAAAUCUAAGUCGAAUUGGUAUCUCCAGAAACCGAUCCGAAUCUAAAACCCCAUCCUGCAAAUUCAAAACGGUAUCCUGUAAAGAAAAAAAUCAAUUCAAAAUAAUAUCUUGUAAAAACUCAAUACAAGUUAAAAAUCAAAAUAUGUAUAAAUCUAAAAUCAAAACAAUUCCCUGUAACAACCACUCCAAACCAAGCCAAAAACCAAAUCGAAACAAAGUCGCAUCAAAAAAUCAAAUGGAUAGAAACAAAGAUGAAAUCAGAACAACAUCACAACCCGGCCCAUUUGCAAUCAAUACCUAAUUGAGCCAAGCAUCAAAACAGUAAUAUAACCGAAUCCGAAACGUGUUGAGGAUUGAAACCGACUUACAUCUGAACCACACAAGGUCCGAUGAACCGCACCUUUAUGGAAUACCGUUAAUGCGUGAAACCCUCUGUUGCCGUCAAUCGCGUCCGAUCAUCCCUCGGACUCCCUUUUCGUUUUGCCGGCAUCGUCACACGCACCUCGACCUGCCGAGCCGCCACACCGCUGGUAACAUCGUUCAUCAUCACCUCUGUUGCCGUCAAUCGCGUCCGAUCAUCCCUCGGACUCCCUUUUCGUUUUGCCGGCAUCGUCACACGCACCUCGACCUGCCGAGCCGCCACACCGCUGGUAACAUCGUUCAUCAUCAUUGUCGCAUGGGUUUUUUUUUCUCUUGCCGUGAUAUAUGAGGUGUUGGAGUUAAUUUGUUUAAGAAAGAGAUGAUUUUGUUAUGAGAAAAAUGGUGAAAGCAUUCAUGAGAGAUGAGGAAAACGUUGUUUUGGACCUGAAAACAUUAAUCCACCCUUUUGUUCUAUUUACUUACAUUUUUUAAAAAAGAAAGAAG
rnacentral:lncRNA from 1 species